AUGAUCCGCUUGAUUAUGUUGGCGUUGAGCCUUAACAUAGUAUUUGGCAAUGAUGAACUCACCGUCUUCACAGUAGGCUGCAGAGAAGACAUAACUUUGCACUGUACUUUCCUUCAAAACUGUCAGAACUACACCUCUAUUACGUGGUACAAGUUGAACAAUAACAGCGGUGACAGAUCUACAAUGAAAAUCCUCAAAAAGUCAGAAAGUGUCGUCCAGACUGACAAACCCAACGAUUCUGUGUCACUGGAAAAAAACGCAGCUUUGGUCUUAAGGAAAGUUACUCAAGCUGAUUCUGGGGUGUACACGUGUUUAAUUAAAGCCAAAGCUGGUGGAAAGAACUGUCCAAAUUGGGUUAGACUUAAUAUCUCAGAUUGUGUGUCAACACCUUCACCCGUCAUCUUUGAAUUCUCCACCAAGUUUAUUAAUGGAUCAUGGUCAAACAUCAGCGUCCCAUUGCCUCAUGUGAAUGACUAUUCAGUGCUUUUUGUCCUGUGGGGUUGUGUAGGACUCGGUGUGAGUAAAAUCAUCCUCAGUGCCAUUUCCAUAUGCGUUUUCAAGAAACUCAGAAAACUUAAAAGAAGACAGACUUGAGACCAACCACUGUUUAUCAUCACCUUGUUUGUUUGCAGUUGACUCACCAUACUCUGCAAACUCUGCAAACUUGUGUAAAAGACCAUUGGAUGGUUUAGUGAUUUAACAUGUUAAUACUUAAUCUGUGAAUUUACCUAUGAAUCAUGAUACUCUGAGGAACUGAUACUUUAUAUCUGUUAUAUUUAUUUCCAAAAUGACAUUCCUGUCAUAAGGGCAAAAAAUGGAAGAACAUUUUCUUAAACUUUAAAAUUAUGUUUGGAGGAACUAUGCAUAUUGAAAGUUUUCUGAUGCAUAAUCCAUAUUUAAUACACUGCAAAAGAACAAAUUUUUCUUCAUUAUGGAUUUUUCUUACUAGUGUUAUUCUUGUAUUAUUUAUGUACAUUUGUAGUAUAUUUACUAAAGCAAAUUGUAAAACAAAUAUGUAUUGAUUGAUUGUAUCAAACAAAUUUGUAUCCAUAUUACUGGUUUAAAUUGGCCAGUAAGAAUGUUAAAUUAGUUUAAGCUUUUAUAAAUAUUUCAUUCUCUUUGUUUGUAGGUGUUGUGUGUGAAAUUGGUUUGCUCCAUGUGUGCAAAUUUUCAGAAAAACUAAACAUGAGGUCAUCCUAAAAUAGGUAUACUGUGCUUUUGCCCAUGAAUUGUUGAAUUCCCAAAAAUGGAAAUUAGGCUGCUCUUUACUCACCCACGAGGCAUCCAGUUAUGACUUUCUUCUUUCAGACGAAUCCAGUAAGAGUUAUAUAAAAAAUUGUCUUUGAUCUUUCAAGUUCUAUCAUUGCAGUCAGCGGGUGUUGCAUUCCUUCAGCCAAAAAGAAGUUAAAUAAAAAGCGCCCUUCCAUAAAACAAAGUGUCUCGCACAGCUCGGAUCAGUGGUUCUCAUACUUUUUUCGCCAAGUACCGGCUCAGAAAUAUGUCUCUCUAAGUACCACCAUAACGACCAACAUUAAAAUGACAGUGGCACAAUGCAUAGUUAAACAUUAUAAAUAACAUUAUCACUGCAUUGUGCAUAAAUCCAGGUA
rnacentral:lncRNA from 1 species